rnacentral:rRNA from 1 species
AAGGCUGAGCUGUGAUGGCGAGCGAAAUUUAGUAGCGAAGUUCCUGAUUCCACACUGCCAAGAAAAGCCUCUAGCGAGGUGAGAGGUGCCCGUACCGCAAACCGACACAGGUAGGCGAGGAGAGAAUCCUAAGGUGAUCGAGAGAACUCUCGUUAAGGAACUCGGCAAAAUGACCCCGUAACUUCGGGAGAAGGGGUGCUUCUUAGGGUGUUAAAGCCCCGAGAAGCCGCAGUGAAUAGGCCCAGGCGACUGUUUAGCAAAAACACAGGUCUCUGCGAAGCCGUAAGGCGAAGUAUAGGGGCUGACGCCUGCCCGGUGCUGGAAGGUUAAGAGGAGCGCUUAGCGUAAGCGAAGGUGCGAAUUGAAGCCCCAGUAAACGGCGGCCGUAACUAUAACGGUCCUAAGGUAGCGAAAUUCCUUGUCGGGUAAGUUCCGACCCGCACGAAAGGCGCAACGAUCUGGGCACUGUCUCAACGAGAGACUCGGUGAAAUUAUAGUACCUGUGAAGAUGCAGGUUACCCGCGACAGGACGGAAAGACCCCGUGGAGCUUUACUGCAGCCUGAUAUUGAAUGUUGGUACAGCUUGUACAGGAUAGGUAGGAGCCUUGGAAACCGGAGCGCUAGCUUCGGUGGAGGCAUCGGUGGGAUACUACCCUGGCUGUAUUGACCUUCUAACCCGCUGCCCUUAUCGGGCAGGGAGACAGUGUCAGGUGGGCAGUUUGACUGGGGCGGUCGCCUCCUAAAAUGUAACGGAGGCGCCCAAAGGUUCCCUCAGAAUGGUUGGAAAUCAUUCGCAGAGUGUAAAGGCACAAGGGAGCUUGACUGCGAGACCUACAAGUCGAGCAGGGACGAAAGUCGGGCUUAGUGAUCCGGUGGUUCCGCAUGGAAGGGCCAUCGCUCAACGGAUAAAAGCUACCCCGGGGAUAACAGGCUUAUCUCCCCCAAGAGUCCACAUCGACGGGGAGGUUUGGCACCUCGAUGUCGGCUCAUCGCAUCCUGGGGCUGUAGUCGGUCCCAAGGGUUGGGCUGUUCGCCCAUUAAAGCGGUACGCGAGCUGGGUUCAGAACGUCGUGAGACAGUUCGGUCCCUAUCCGUCGCGGGCGCAGGAAAUUUGAGAGGAGCUGUCCUUAGUACGAGAGGACCGGGAUGGACGCACCGCUGGUGUACCAGUUGUUCUGCCAAGGGCAUCGCUGGGUAGCUAUGUGCGGACGGGAUAAGUGCUGAAAGCAUCUAAGCAUGAAGCCCCCCUCAAGAUGAGAUUUCCCAUUCCGCAAGGAAGUAAGAUCCCUGAAAGAUGAUCAGGUUGAUAGGUCUGAGGUGGAAGCGUGGUGACACGUGGAGCUGACAGAUACUAAUAGAUCGAGGACUUAACCUA